rnacentral:rRNA from 1 species
AUUGAACGCUGGCGGCAUGCCUUACACAUGCAAGUCGAACGGCAGCAUGGGUGCUUGCACCUGAUGGCGAGUGGCGAACGGGUGAGUAAUGCAUCGGAACGUACCCGGAAGUGGGGGAUAACGUAGCGAAAGUUACGCUAAUACCGCAUAUUCUGUGAGCAGGAAAGCGGGGGAUCGCAAGACCUCGCGCUUCCGGAGCGGCCGAUGUCGGAUUAGCUAGUUGGCGGGGUAAAGGCCCACCAAGGCAACGAUCCGUAGCGGGUCUGAGAGGAUGAUCCGCCACACUGGGACUGAGACACGGCCCAGACUCCUGCGGGAGGCAGCAGUGGGGAAUUUUGGACAAUGGGCGAAAGCCUGAUCCAGCGAUGCCGCGUGGGUGAAGAAGGCCUGCGGGUUGUAAAGCCCUUUCGAUGGGAAAGAAAAGCCUGGAGCUAAUACCUCCGGGUCUUGACGUUACCCAGAGAAGAAGCACCGGCUAACUCCGUG